GGUCCAGCUAAAGAUUUCUACCAGCGCGAGUUUGACUUCUUCAACAAGAUCACCAAUGUCUCGGCCAUUAUAAAGCCGAUUCCUAAAGGUGACGAGCGCAAGAGAGCGUGUCUGCGAGCCCUGUCUGAUAUCAAAGUCCAGCCAGGCUGUUAUUUGCCCAGUAACCCUGAAGCUAUAGUGCUGGACAUUGAUUAUAAAUCAGGAACACCAAUGCAGAG